UUGCCCUACUUUCUCAUCCAGGUGCUCGACAGUGUAGAGAAGGGUGAAAAUGCUGUGUUCUGUCAGGUAAUUCUCCCUUCUCUUACUGUCGAGCAUCUAGGCCUCUGCUCCUGGACCCU
rnacentral:precursor_RNA from 15 species